rnacentral:rRNA from 1 species
CCAGGUCUUGACAUCCCUUGACAACUCCAGAGAUGGAGCGUUCCCUUCGGGGACAAGGUGACAGGUGGUGCAUGGUUGUCGUCAGCUCGUGUCGUGAGAUGUUGGGUUAAGUCCCGNAACGAGCGCAACCCUUAUUACUAGUUGCCAGCAUUCAGUUGGGCACUCUAGUGAGACUGCCGGUGACAAACCGGAGGAAGGUGGGGAUGACGUCAAAUCAUCAUGCCCCUUAUGACCUGGGCUACACACGUGCUACAAUGGCGUAUACAACGAGUUGCCAACCCGCGAGGGUGAGCUAAUCUCUUAAAGUACGUCUCAGUUCGGAUUGUAGGCUGCAACUCGCCUACAUGAAGUCGGAAUCGCUAGUAAUCGCGGAUCAGCACGCCGCGGUGAAUACGUUCCCGGGUCUUGUACACACCGCCCGUCACACCAUGAGAGUUUGUAACACCCAAAGCCGGUGGGGUAACCUUUUAGGAGCCAGCCGUCUAAGGUGGGACAGAUGAUUAGGGUGAAGUCGUAACAAGGUAGGCGUACGUGU